rnacentral:rRNA from 1 species
UUUUAUGAGAGUUUGAUCCUGGCUCAGGACGAACGCUGGCGGCGUGCCUAAUACAUGCAAGUCGAACGCUUCUUUUUCCACCGGAGCUUGCUCCACCGGAAAAAGAGGAGUGGCGAACGGGUGAGUAACACGUGGGUAACCUGCCCAUCAGAAGGGGAUAACACUUGGAAACAGGUGCUAAUACCGUAUAACAAUCGAAACCGCAUGGUUUUGAUUUGAAAGGCGCUUUCGGGUGUCGCUGAUGGAUGGACCCGCGGUGCAUUAGCUAGUUGGUGAGGUAACGGCUCACCAAGGCGACGAUGCAUAGCCGACCUGAGAGGGUGAUCGGCCACAUUGGGACUGAGACACGGCCCAAACUCCUACGGGAGGCAGCAGUAGGGAAUCUUCGGCAAUGGACGAAAGUCUGACCGAGCAACGCCGCGUGAGUGAAGAAGGUUUUCGGAUCGUAAAACUCUGUUGUUAGAGAAGAACAAGGAUGAGAGUAACUGUUCAUCCCUUGACGGUAUCUAACCAGAAAGCCACGGCUAACUACGUGCCAGCAGCCGCGGUAAUACGUAGGUGGCAAGCGUUGUCCGGAUUUAUUGGGCGUAAAGCGAGCGCAGGCGGUUUCUUAAGUCUGAUGUGAAAGCCCCCGGCUCAACCGGGGAGGGUCAUUGGAAACUGGGAGACUUGAGUGCAGAAGAGGAGAGUGGAAUUCCAUGUGUAGCGGUGAAAUGCGUAGAUAUAUGGAGGAACACCAGUGGCGAAGGCGGCUCUCUGGUCUGUAACUGACGCUGAGGCUCGAAAGCGUGGGGAGCAAACAGGAUUAGAUACCCUGGUAGUCCACGCCGUAAACGAUGAGUGCUAAGUGUUGGAGGGUUUCCGCCCUUCAGUGCUGCAGCUAACGCAUUAAGCACUCCGCCUGGGGAGUACGACCGCAAGGUUGAAACUCAAAGGAAUUGACGGGGGCCCGCACAAGCGGUGGAGCAUGUGGUUUAAUUCGAAGCAACGCGAAGAACCUUACCAGGUCUUGACAUCCUUUGACCACUCUAGAG